rnacentral:rRNA from 1 species
AUUGAACGCUGGCGGCAGGCCUAACACAUGCAAGUCGAGCGGUAGAGAGAAGCUUGCUUCUCUUGAGAUCGGCGGACGGGUGAGUAAUGCCUAGGAAUCUGCCUGGUAGUGGGGGAUAACGUUCGGAAACGGGCGCUAAUACCGCAUACGUCCUACGGGAGAAAGCAGGGGACCUUCGGGCGUUGCGCUAUCAGAUGAGCCUAGGUCGGAUGAGCUAGUUGGUGGGGUAAUGGCUCACCAAGGCUACGAUCCGAAACUGGUAUGAGAGGAUGAUCAGUCACACUGGAACUGAGACACGGUCCAGACUCCUACGGGAGGCAGCAGUGGGGAAUAUUGGACGAUGGGGGAAAGCCUGAUCCAGCCAUGCCGCGUGUGUGAAGAAGGUCUUCGGAUUGUAAAGCACUUUAAGUUGGGAGGAAGGGCAGUAAAUUAAUACUUUGCUGUUUUGACGUUACCGACAGAAUAAGCACCGGCUAACUCUGUG